ACGUUAGCGGCGGACGGGUGAGUAACACGUGGGUAACCUACCUAUAAGACUGGGAUAACUACGGGAAACCGGGGCUAAUACCGGAUAAUACAUGAAACCGCAUGGUUUCAUGAUGAAAGACGGUUUUGCUGUCACUUAUAGAUGGACCCGCGGCGUAUUAGCUAGUUGGUAAGGUAACGGCUUACCAAGGCAACGAUACGUAGCCGACCUGAGAGGGUGAUCGGCCACACUGGAACUGAGACACGGUCCAGACUCCUACGGGAGGCAGCAGAC
rnacentral:rRNA from 1 species